rnacentral:rRNA from 1 species
CCUACGGGAGGCAGCAGUGGGGAAUAUUGGACAAUGGGCGCAAGCCUGAUCCAGCCAUGCCGCGUGAGUGAUGAAGGCCCUAGGGUUGUAAAGCUCUUUUGUGCGGGAAGCGGUACCGCAAGAAUAAGCCCCGGCUAACUUCGUGCCAGCAGCCGCGGUAAUACGAAGGGGGCUAGCGUUGCUCGGAAUCACUGGGCGUAAAGGGUGCGUAGGCGGGUCUUUAAGUCAGGGGUGAAAUCCUGGAGCUCAACUCCAGAACUGCCUUUGAUACUGAGGAUCUUGAGUACGGGAGAGGUGAGUGGAACUGCGAGUGUAGAGGUGAAAUUCGUAGAUAUUCGCAAGAACACCAGUGGCGAAGGCGGCUCACUGGCCCGUACUGACGCUGAGGCACGAAAGCGUGGGGAGCAAACAGGAUUAGAUACCCUUGUAGUC